GACGAACGCUGGCGGCGUGCCUAAUACAUGCAAGUAGAACGCUGAAGGAGGAGCUUGCUUCUCUGGAUGAGUUGCGAACGGGUGAGUAACGCGUAGGUAACCUGCCUUGUAGCGGGGGAUAACUAUUGGAAACGAUAGCUAAUACCGCAUAAGAGUAGAUGUUGCAUGACAUUUGCUUAAAAGGUGCAAUUGCAUCACUACCAGAUGGACCUGCGUUGUAUUAGCUAGUUGGUGAGGUAACGGCUCACCAAGGCGACGAUACAUAGCCGACCUGAGAGGGUGAUCGGCCACACUGGGACUGAGACACGGCCCAGACUCCUACGGGAGGCAGCAGUAGGGAAUCUUCGGCAAUGGACGGAAGUCUGACCGAGCAACGCCGCGUGAGUGAAGAAGGUUUUCGGAUCGUAAAGCUCUGUUGUAAGAGAAGAACGAGUGUGAGAGUGGAAAGUUCACACUGUGACGGUAUCUUACCAGAAAGGGACGGCUAACUACGUG
rnacentral:rRNA from 1 species